CAUGGCUAUCCUAGAAGCCAGAACAGCAAGAGGGAUCUCCCAGAAGCCAGAACAGCAAGAGGGAUCACUGUGCAGUGAAAGCAACAAUCCCUCUUGCUGUUCUAGCUUCUGGGAUAGCUGUG